rnacentral:rRNA from 1 species
CCCUUAGAUGUUCGGGGCCGCACGCGCGCUACACUGAAGGACUCAGCGUGUCUCUCCCCCUAUCCCGAAAGGGAUGGGCAACCCGUUGAACCUCCUUCGUGCUAGGGAUUGGGGUUUGCAAUUAUCCCCCAUGAACGAGGAAUUCCCAGUAAGCGCGAGUCAUCAGCUCGCGUUGAUUACGUCCCUGCCCUUUGUACACACCGCCCGUCGCUACUACCGAUUGGAUGGUUUAGUGAGACCCUCGGAUCGGUCCCGACUCGGGGUGGGCUUCUGCCCCGGUCGUGGUUUCGCCGAGAAGACGGUCAAACUUGACUAUCUAGAGGAAGUAAAAGACGUAACA